GUUGCAGCCCAAGAUUCCAAGAAAACAAAGACACCUGCAGAAGAACAACCCAAAGGAAAAAAACAGGAAAAGAAAGAAAAACACUUGGAACCAGCAAAGUCACCAAAGAAGGAACAUUCAGAAACUGAGCGAACUAAAGAAGAGAUUGGU